rnacentral:misc_RNA from 1 species
UUAAUUCUUGCUUUUUUGAUUCAGACAAAUACUUUACCGCAUAAACGAGGUGCCGGAGCACCAAAACACAUCUUGCUUCCACAGGUUUACAGGGUUGAAGGCAAAAGCCAUUCAUUAAUGAUCCCUCCGCAGGUUCACCUACGGAGA